AGGAUGAAGGGGGCUCGAACCUGAGUGUCCUCUUCGCUGUGGCCAGUACCUAGGGGGCUGGGGUUGCUGCCAGCUCGACUGGAGGCCUGCUUCCAGCCCCAGGCUGUGGCGAGGGGCCUCACAGAUUUCACAAACAGGAGGGCGGCUGACCAAGCGCCAAACUAUUUAGACAAACACACACCCUCCCUUCCUGCCAGAGUUUGGGCUGAUUUCUCCCAAUGCUAAUGAACAGCUCAUAAGUAUUAAUAGACUCCUUGGCACCUAGGAGUCAGGCAGAGUAACUUCCAGUGUGAAUUUUGGCCAAGGACCCUGAUGCAGCCUCAGGAUCUUCCAAGCCCCUGUUGAGUCCAGGGGGCAUGAGACACACAGGGAGGCUGGGGCUGCUCCCAGGAAGCAGGCUCACCAGAGCCAGACAGGCUCCCACAGACAGCUUUUAGGUCACAGAAACCUCUGCCUGCCAGGUAGGCAUGAACACAGAAACCCUCCCAAAUCCUCAGACUGUGGAGCAGGCUCCAGGCGAGCCAGGAUCAAUCCCUGGUCUCAGAGAACACUUAGAUGGGGGUGAAAAGCAGGAACUGAGAGCUUCCCACCCAGCACCUGUCCCUGCUACCAGCUAAACCUGUGUCCGUCAGUGCAGGAAUUGUACAGGUGAUGCUCUGAGCCUGUGCUGAGGCCAUGUAUGGACUGAGGAAACCUCACUGUGUGUAUGUAAAGUUAAUUCAAACCUAUUUCCCUGAGUGCUUACAUAUUUUCAUAAGGAAAGUUCUGUUAGGAGAGCUGCCUGAAACAACACCUCUGCCUGUGCUCCCACUUUCUCCCGCUGGUGUGGGGAGGAAAGGCUGACAUCGCUGGGUCCACGUUCCUCUGCCCUGGGUGGGGUAUUAAUGCUGCCAUUCCCACGCUGCCUGCUGUUUCCCCUCAUCCUCAGGAGGGCUGGUCUCUGUGCUGCAGGCAGCUCCACCAGGCCUGGGAGCAUGACACCGUCUGCCAAUGCCUUGCCCAGGUCCACUGGCCUCACCCUUCCGCAGGCCUGUGCCUUCUGUGAUUCUCUGCCUCAGCAAUUUCUCUGGAUUUCUUUGUUCUCAGGAAUGUGCUAGGGCCACAGGCAGGUCAGGCCAGGCUUUCUGGGGAGUGAAUGCUCUCUGCCAGUGGCAGACGGAACUGGUAGACACGUCCCCCGGAUUCCUCGCCUGCAAGUGGGAUGGUGCCAGGAAAGUUCUACACCAUCCUUCCCAGGUCCCAGGAGGACAAGCACAGUUGUCCACAAGUCACCCACAGAUCUGAGAUCGCUGACUCCCAGAGACACCCAGUUUCUCGGUGUCAGUACGCACUGCCUAUCCAUCUCAAUUCUCAGGGCACCGCAAGACAACGUAUCUCCCCUCUCCUGUGCAAUCAGUCAAAGAACAUUUAGUCAACCUCAACUGGGAGCACAGCACUCCUGGGGCUGUUGGGCAUUCAAAAGAGGUAAGAUGUUGGGAAUCUACCAGGCAUCUGCACCCUUGUUGGGGAACCAAUCCAUACACAGCAGCAACUGUUAAGUGGUGGCACCUGCUGGCUGUAGCACUUAAUAGGUAGGUGUGCAUGGAGUCAGACUGCCAAGUACACAGACCAGCUCUACCACUCACAGUAGUUGUGAUCUUGGGCAAAACACAUAACCUCCCUGAGCCUCUCAGUUUCUCACCCACUAGUAUCACCUCACUAAGCAUGUUAGGAGGAGUCAAUGCGAUAGCCUAUGCAAAGUGCCUGGUAUAGUGCCUGGCACACAAGAGGUAUUCAGUACCUGCCAGCUGUUGUUGUUUUUCGCAAAUGAAGUGUAAACCCCUUGAGGACAGAGACGAGUGUCCAUAGCUGUUAUCUGCCACAGAGCCUUCCA
rnacentral:lncRNA from 1 species